rnacentral:rRNA from 1 species
ACUCCUACGGGAGGCAGCAGUGGGGAAUAUUGGACAAUGGGCGCAAGCCUGAUCCAGCCAUGCCGCGUGAGUGAUGAAGGCCCUAGGGUUGUAAAGCUCUUUCACCGGUGAAGAUAAUGACGGUAACCGGAGAAGAAGCCCCGGCUAACUUCGUGCCAGCAGCCGCGGUAAUACGAAGGGGGCUAGCGUUGUUCGGAUUUACUGGGCGUAAAGCGCACGUAGGCGGACUAUUAAGUCAGGGGUGAAAUCCCGGGGCUCAACCCCGGAACUGCCUUUGAUACUGGUAGUCUUGAGUUCGAGAGAGGUGAGUGGAAUUCCGAGUGUAGAGGUGAAAUUCGUAGAUAUUCGGAGGAACACCAGUGGCGAAGGCGGCUCACUGGCUCGAGACUGACGCUGAGGUGCGAAAGCGUGGGGAGCAAACAGGAUUAGAAACCCGGGUAGUCCC